CUCUCUUCUGGGCUAAGCCCACUGAUGAGCUGGUGAAAUUCCAGCGAAAAGGGAG
rnacentral:hammerhead_ribozyme from 1 species